rnacentral:lncRNA from 1 species
AUACCUCAUCCUCUGCAUUCUAACAUAAUGUACUACGGAUGUAAGAUUUUAACUUAGUGUACUAGGGAGGAUGUAAGAAGGAGAAAACGGCCUCAACCCGGUGAUGUAAAGCACUCCGCACUCGGACGGCUUUGAGUGUUGGCGUUGAUUGAUUUUUAUAGGCAGUCGUCAAUAUGCACAGUGUGGCCAAGUUAAUUUACACAAGUCAACGAGUUGACGAAGAUGGGUUUGCGUCCCCCGGCCGGGGGACGCGCGACCAUUUUCUCUAAGACACAGGCCUCGCCCCGGACUCCGCGCCCCUGUGUUUCCACGUAAUAAACACCACAUUUGGGAGCUAUUACAAGGCUUUCUGGGCUGGCGAGGAUACAGGGGGCAGGUGGGUGUG